rnacentral:rRNA from 1 species
GACGAACGCUGGCGGCGUGCCUAAUACAUGCAAGUUGAGCGCUGAAGGUUGGUACUUGUACCAACUGGAUGAGCAGCGAACGGGUGAGUAACGCGUGGGGAAUCUGCCUUUGAGCGGGGGACAACAUUUGGAAACGAAUGCUAAUACCGCAUAAAAACUUUAAACACAAGUUUUAAGUUUGAAAGAUGCAAUUGCAUCACUCAAAGAUGAUCCCGCGCUGUAUUAGCUAGUUGGUGAGGUAAAGGCUCACCAAGGCGAUGAUACAUAGCCGACCUGAGAGGGUGAUCGGCCACAUUGGGACUGAGACACGGCCCAAACUCCUACGGGAGGCAGCAGUAGGGAAUCUUCGGCAAUGGACGAAAGUCUGACCGAGCAACGCCGCGUGAGUGAAGAAGGUUUUCGGAUCGUAAAACUCUGUUGGUAGAGAAGAACGUUGGUGAGAGUGGAAAGCUCAUCAAGUGACGGUAACUACACAGAAAGGGACGGCUAACUACGUG